rnacentral:rRNA from 1 species
CGGGCAGGCGGCGGUCAAAGUCGGACGUGAAAGCUCCUGGCUCAACUGGGAGAGGCCGUUCGAAACUCGGCCGCUAGAGGACGGUAGAGGCACGUGGAAUUCCGGGUGGAGUGGUGAAAUGCGUAGAGAUCCGGAGGAACACCAGAGGCGAAGGCGGCGUGCUGGGCCGCACCUGACGCUGAGCCGCGAAAGCCAGGGGAGCGAACG